GCAUGCAGCCGAAGACCAAAAAGGCCGCAGUUGUUUCUUCCCCGAAGGAAUCACUAAAAAUUCAGGAUUCUCAAUAUGAAGAUGAAGUUGGCAUGCAGCCGAAGACCGAAAAGGCUGCAGUUGGUUCUUCCCAGAAGGAAUCACUAAAAAUUCAGGAUUCUCUAUCUGAAGAUGAAGUUGUCAUGCAGCCGAAGACCAAAAAGGCCAAACGUCGCAGUUCCCCCCAAAAAUUAUGUAAGUGAAAAGUUAUUAAAGACAAUACCUUCCCCUAGUCUAGACUAGCAGACUAGCAUGGUGAAAUGUUGUCUGUCUGUCUUUCACUGUCAGUGUAUAGUCAAAGAUAGAAUAGGGAGAAUUACCAGAAUACCGCCAUCUAUUGAUCAAGAUAGGCAACAACAACAUAAAAAUAAUUCCUGCUGUCGGUUGCCAGACUGUUGCUAGGUAAAACACACCAUUGCUAAGGACGCUGCUCUGAUCAGAAGACACAGAG